rnacentral:tRNA from 1 species
GGAGAGGUGGCAGAGCCCGGUUGAAUGCACCUGACUCGAAAUCAGGCAUACCUUUACGGGUAUCGGGGGUUCGAAUCCCUCCCUCUCCG